GAUUAAUAGGGACAGUUGGGGGCAUUCGUAUUUAGUAGCUAGAGGUGAAAUUCUUAGACCUACUAAAGACGAACUACUGCGAAAGCAUCUGCCAAGGAUGUUUUCAUUAAUCAAGAACGAAAGUUAAGGGAUCGAAGACGAUCAGAUACCGUCGUAGUCUUAACCAUAAACGAUGCCGACUAGAGAUUGGGAAGCUGUCA
rnacentral:rRNA from 1 species